rnacentral:rRNA from 1 species
CUUUGCAAUGUGCGAAAGCACGACAAGGUUAAUCCGAGUGGUUCCUGCUAAAGGAACCUUUUGUUAGUCAUAAUAUCACUAUUGAAUAAGGGGUGGGCAAGUUCUGGUGUCAGCCGCCGCGGUAAACCAGCACCUCAAGUGGUCAGGAGGAUUAUUGGGCCUAAAGCAUCCGUAGCCGGCUCUGUUAGUUUUCGGUUAAAUCUAUACGCUCAACGUAUGGGCUGCCGGGAAUACUGCAAAGCUAGGAAGUGGGAGAGGUAGACGGUACUCCGUAGGAAGGGGUAAAAUCCUUUGAUCUAUGGAUGACCACCUGUGGCGAAGGCGGUCUACCAGAACACGUUUGACGGUGAGGGAUGAAAGCUGGGGGAGCAAACCGGG